GCACACAUGCAGAGAGUCUUUGGGAUAUAGUAAUAUUCUUUAUUAAUAACAUUAAAGAAAAUAACUUUAGCUAACCCAGGCUUUCAAACUCACAAUCAGAACAAUUCAAGAGGGCCUAGAGGGAUUUUAGAUAUAAUCAUUUGCAAUUGGCCAAGAUGUCACUGGUAUUCUUGAAAUAACAAGAUGAUAAACAAAAGUAGGCUACUUGCAAUUUAACAACCUACAUACUACAAAAAUGAAGAGUUCAGCUAAAAACAACAAGCUUUACUUGUGAGGGAGGGAAAGGCAGUUUUAAAAAGUGAGAGUGACCAUGAAGUGGUAAGAAUUCACGCAGAGCCGGACGAACCUCAUUAAGGCCAGUCUACAGCGCGAGACAAAACUACAAACGCGUCGCGCGCUUACACACUCGGUGAUAACGUCGCGCGCUCGCAGCGUUGAUGAAUAUAAUAGUUAAAUAAAAGCCCAUAAAACUUAAAGCUGCGUGGGUGGCGGGGUACGACCGCUGAGAAAAUCGUGAUGUGAGAGAAAUUAUUGUGAUUGAGGGAGAGAAAGCGAGAGAGUCUCAACAUGGAUUCCCAAACAUGCCACAAUAGGCCUCCUGAGCGCGGCUACUGAAACUUCCUGUAGUUGGCGGGACAGUAGCAACUUCUCAAGUGCAUACUGGACAAGUAGAUGCAUGUUAGGAAAUGAAUACUUGCUGCAAGUAUGCUAACAAUGACUAAAGUGAAUUCAAACUACUGGAAAGCAUUCAUCAUAAAAAGUAAUAGGAUUACCACACACUGCUCUGCCAAGGACAGAGACUGGAGGGGGAGACAGGAGGACAGGUUAAAGAGGGGAGGAAGAGAGAGAGAGGGAAACGAAGAGUACAAGUUGAAGAACAGAAUGCGAUGUCGCUGCACACCCAACCUGAAGCCCCUCGGAGUAACAGGCCUGUGAUAUUUGAGGAGCGACAUAGAGCGCAAUGGAUCUGUAUCCGGUACAGCUGUCAUUUCAGAGGCGUGGAGUUAAUCAGAGGUCCGAUUUAGCAGCAUGCCAGGCCUAAAGCGGGGUCACCACAGGGCUUCUACUCACUGCUGCUGAUAGUACACCAGCUGCUGAACUUCGUGAUCUGCAUUAACUGACAAGAUGUGGUGGUGUGUUCCAGACAGAUGGCGGUAACCCAAAGCUGCUCGUUUCAAACUCUGGAAGGGAAGAUCCAUAAAGUAUCAGCGAUGUGCCCUUGAGUUCGGCAAGUUUUAAGUUUUGCUGGUUAGCAUCAUCCAUCACAUCUCAAGACUGUCAUUAAUUAAGGGUUUGGGUCUAUGUUCUCAGCAUUACCAUAACAAUUUUUGUUACCAUUUUAAAUGUACCAAGUGAUUAGUCACAUGAUAUUUGCAUUGCAGAUAAUUGAUUCAAAAAUUGAUUUCUGUGGCAACACAAAUAACAAGAAAUGUUUCAUUUCACAGUCUAUUGCUUUGGUUAUAUGUUAUAAUAUUAAACAACUUA